CACACCUGCAGCCAGGUCACUCUUUCAUUUUGUUUAUUUCGUCGCCUCAGCGCAAAAGCUCCACAGGAAAUGAAUGGAGAGCAAGUGAUGUCUCUCUGCCUGUGUAAAGUCUUAGAAGUGAGCGUCUCCCGCUCACCAACAGCGCACUCAGAAACAGCGCACUCAGAAACAGCGCACAGACCGGGGCAUUGAGGACACUCUGCGGACUCCACGUUUGCGCUUUCCUGUUCAUUUUUGAUAAAUAUAUUAAGAACAAGUGCUCAGAGUUACUGAAGAGCUGCCUUGUGAACAAAGGCCCAGUGCACUAGAGGUGUUUGCGGAGUUCAGUAGAAUAGUUACCAACAACCUACAGGAAAUGUGGGACAGACCCUGUCAGAGUUGAUCCAACAAAUAUAUGCAGUGAAACCAGAUGUGACAGCGAUGUGGACCAUUGUACUCCGAGGUCUCCCUGUUCUACUUGGUGAUGACUCCAGUGACUUCUACUUGACCUGCUUUGAUUGUGACGCUGAUGAGUCCCAGGCACAAGUGUCUGUCGGGGAGCUGACUGUUGUCCGUGAAGAUGUGCAACUCACUCCAAAUCAGCUCCACCUUCACCCAGUGUCUAGUGCCAUCAUUGUUGAGGGAGAUAUUGUGCUGAAUGAUCUGCUUUAUAUAGAGACAUAAUAUGUAAUACGUAUAUAUUUUUUAUUUACUGAAUUUAUGUAACAUUACUCAGGGAUACAAAAGUGCACUUUU